rnacentral:rRNA from 1 species
UUUAGUUUGACCCCCCGAAACCAAGUGAGCUACUCCUAAACAGCCUUUUUAGGGCUAACCCGUCUCUGUUGCAAAAGAGUGGGAUAAUUUAUGAGUAGAGGUGACAGACCUAUCGAACUUAGAGAUAGCUGGUUUUUUAAGAAAAGAAUUUUAGUUCAGCCUCAAGCUUCCCUUUAACCAAAAAAUCACCCAAGGCUUGAGAGUUAUUCAAAUAAGGCACAGCUUAUUUGAAACAGGACACAACCUAGAAUACAGGGUAAAAACAGACUAAAUUGACUAAUAAGUGGGCCUAAAAGCAGCCACCUUUCAAAAAGCGUCAAAGCUUGGUAGUGCCAAUUUUCCCAAUAACCUACAUACUUUUUAACCCGCACACACUAUUAAAUAAAUCCAUAAAGCUAUGGAAGCUAUAAUGCUAGAACAAGUAACAAGAAAAAGAAUUUCUCCAAAAUGUAAGCCUCAGCCGCAAUAGACAACCUGCCGGCGAUUAACGCCCAUGAGCCCAAUAUAACAACACUACAAGAAAACCCUAUAGACCCCCAGCGUCAACCUUACACCAGCACAUUUAUGGAAAGAUUAAAAGAGCGGGAAGGAACUCG